rnacentral:rRNA from 1 species
CAAGGAAUUUUCGUCAAUGGGCGCAAGCCUGAACGAGCAACGCCGCGUGGAGGAUGACGGCCUUCGGGUUGUAAACUCCUUUUUCGGGGGACGAUGAUGACGGUACCCCGGGAAUAAGGCUCGGCUAACUCUGUGCCAGCAGCCGCGGUAAGACAGAGGAGCCAAGCGUUGUCCGGAUUGACUGGGCGUAAAGCGCACGCAGGCGGUCUGGCGCGUGGGGUGUGAAAUCUGGCCGCUUAACGGCCAGGCGCCAUCCCAUACGGCCGGACUGGAGCCGUGCAGAGGGCGGUGGAAUUGCCGGUGUAGUGGUGAAAUGCGUAGAGAUCGGCAGGAACACCCAGGGGGAAACCAGCCGCCUGGGCACGCGCUGACGCUGAGGUGCGAGAGCGUGGGGAGCGAACCGG